AAUAAAUGAACAGAAGCAUGUCUUAAAAAUUAAUUAAAAAAUAGUUAACAUACUCUUAUUAUUUUUUUUUUGCAAGUUUUUCUUUUAAUUCCAGUUAGUCAAUAUCCAGUGUGAUUGUAUUUGUUGCAGGGGUACGAGAUAGUGAUUCAACACUUAACAUCCAUCACCUAGGUUGAUAGGGAGACCCUAUCAACCUACACCCAGAAACUUCUUCUCUUUUCCCCCUGGAAGGAACUACAAACUUCAUUGAGGCACAAUUGACAUCCAGUCCAUCCACUGCAUUUCGAUGACGUAUAUACCCAUGUAAUCCACAUUCCCGGCGAGAUAACACUCCCUCUGGCUCCUUCCCAGGCAACCGCAGAUCUGCUUUGUCUCACUGUAGAUUAGCUCUGCCUGUUCUAGAACUUCCUAGACAUGGCCCACUUCUACCGUGCUUGCUCUGGUGUCUGACUUCCUUCACUCGGCUGAAUGUUUCGGAGUUUCACCCGUGUUGUUGCCUACGUGGGCAUCUCCUGGACGGCCCGAGCUGGCAGUGGCCAGGCCAUCUGACACCAUCAUCAGAGUGACUUGAAACCUUUGACUAGGGCACCUAGAAACAGGCUUGAUCCUUUUCCAGACCUCUCAACACCGGCCACCCAGGGACUCAGAGGAGGCGGGAGACACAGCUCUGGCCACCCAAGGGCUUCUGUCUUGUGGGAGAGGCUCGGCAACAGUGGUAUGUUCAGACAGCACGUCUGGUGUCCCCCUUCCCUGCCCCUUCCUGUCGUGGAGCCACAGCCACAUUCAACCUUUCCUGUGGGCUUUCCCCGGGCAGAGUUUCGAGGCCACUCCCAGCGUGUGGCAAGGCUGUUCCCAACGUGUGGCAGGGACCAUCCAAGCUGGGGGGUCCGGACGAUGUCUUCCGCCCCUGACUGUGCCGUGUGCCCUUAGACAGGUCCCCUCCCCAACCCCGCAUCCUUGCCCCGCAUGCCUGUGUCCUUGGCCACUGGAUGGGGUUGACCUCCUUUCUGGAGUAGCGUCCCUCCAGACAGCACGGGAUACACUAGAAAACUGAGAGGAGAGGCUGUUCCC
rnacentral:lncRNA from 1 species